CUACCCAAAAACAUUAGUACUUGUAUCACUUUUUUCUUUUUUAAUUGGAUCAGUUAUUUAUGUUACAAUUGUUUCAUUGAUUGGUACAUCGAUUAAGUUGAUAAGAAUGGACAUUGGGCCUAACUCAACCCUAAAAGCUAGCUUAUGAGGUAAGCAUUGCCCAAGCCAUAUAAGAAGAUCAAGAACCUCAAAUCCCUCCGAUGUGGAACAACUCAACAUCCCCUCUCACGCCCAGAUCUCUGGAGCGUGGACAACAUAAAUAGGUGCCCAACAUCGGUAGCAAUAAUUGGGAUGGGCCUGGCCUGAUACCAUGAUAAGAAUAGACAUUGGGUCAACUCAACCCCUAGCUUAUAAGGUGAGGAUUGCCCAGGCCAUAUAAGGAGACCAAUGACCUCAAAUCCCUCCGAUGUGGGACAACUCAACAUAAGUUUUUAUCAUUUCUUUUCUUGAUUUUUCUUUUUUGCUUUUAUUUUGUUUGUAUCCAUUGAAAAUUUGAAGCAUUAUAUUAACAAGCCCCGUUGUGCAUUAUUUGGUGUAUGGAAUACUAAUACUUCUGUUUGUUCCUUCAUCAGCAGCAAAUUA
rnacentral:lncRNA from 1 species